rnacentral:rRNA from 1 species
AACGUAGGAGGCGAGCGUUAUCCGGAUUUACUGGGUGUAAAGCGCGUGCAGGCGGAGACGCAAGUCGUGCGUGAAAGCGCUCUGGCUCAACCGGGCGAGGACGUGCGGAACUGCGUCACUAGAGGCAGGUAGAGGCGUGUGGAAUUCCGGGUGUAGUGGUGAAAUGCGUAGAGAUCCGGAGGAACACCAGUGGCGAAGGCGACGCGCUGGGCCUGACCUGACGCUAAGACGCGAAAGCAUGGGGAGCGAACGGGAUUAGAAACCCUGGUAGUCC